rnacentral:lncRNA from 1 species
CCUUAGGAAAAACACAGAGCUUUAAAAGUCUAUAUGGAGAGCUGAAAGAAAAUAUCCCAGUAAAAGUGAUCAAAUACUAAUAUGAAUAGCAAGGCUUUAGUAACUCACACAAUUCUGGUAUCACCCAUGUAAAAUUCUCAUCAAUAUUCACCCAAGUAUUCUUUCUCCUACACAGGGAAAGAAAGAAAUAAAAGAGGGACAAUUUCUGAAUCACUCCUUCCAAAGACGGAAAUGAUUUUAAUUACCAAUUCAUCUGUUGGCAGACUCUUCUGGCAGAUGUACCUGCAACUUGGAAAGAUAACAAGUGAACCAAUUCCUUAUUCCAGUUGACACUGAUAGUGCUCACUGAAUUUGCUCUCAGCAAAGAAUUCCCGGGCAACAAUACAUCUGGCACUCUGCUCGAGGAAUUUGUCAUGUCGUUGACAUGUUCAGCCUCCAUUGUCCACACCACCCCGACAGCAGGAGUACAGAUCUGAUAGCAAGUCUAUGCUCAAAAUCUUGACAGUGGUAGCUGGAAGGGAGCAAGCAGAUAAUGAAAUGAUGGAACGUACACUGGUUCAUCAGCCUUUUAAUGGAACAGAAAUAUAGAAGGAGAGAAAUCUGUCCCAUCCUUGGUAUGUCUAAAUAUAAAUAUCUCAAAGUUACUAGACUGCAUAGUACUUUUAUAAAAUAUGAAUUGUAGUCUGUCUGAAUUGAAAGAAAAAAUUGAAAUAGGAAAAGUUACAUAACUUCCACAAGACAGUAGUUAUAUGAAGUAGACUGAUAAUUCAUGGAUACAGUCACAGAACAAGAUGUGGAAAGAUAACUUCAUUCUUUCCUGUUUCACCUCGAACAGUGAGAAAGCAGCUAUUUGCAGUCAGAAAAAGAUCCUUCAUUCAGGAAUUGAAAUGACCAGCAACUUGAUCUAAAACUUCCCAUCCUCAAGUACGGCACACUCCUGCCAUUGUGGUGCCAUCCGCUGUGACACUCUUACAGCAGGGUGACUGUGGGAGUGACUGGAUCUUCAACCUUCAGCCCCCAAAACUGUGAGCUAAAUAAACCCCUUCUCCUCAUAAAGUACCCAACCUCAGGUAUUUUUUUUUUUAAAGCAACAUAAAAUGGGCUAAUGGAGCAAUAUGAGGACAUUGGUUUACAAGCACUUAGGAAUACCUUAUAUGAAAGAGCUGCAGCCUUCAGUUUGUCUUUACAAAGGAUGGAUAUGUCUUUUCAAUUAACAGCUUGAAAAAGUCUGGAAUUAUUUCUUACCUCACAGCUGUCCUGUAAAGUAAUUUCCUUAUUUCUCUCAAGUUGAAAGAAAUGUCUACUGCUUCCUAUUAACUAGCUCAGGGAUUUUCAAAUUAGGUGAAUUUCACAAUUUGUGUGUUAACUGGGGGGAUCGGAGGUGGACUUCGUCAAUUUCCUAUGCCUAGAUUCCCCUAAGUCCACAGAAUCAGAAUUUUUAGCUGUGAUGUCCAAAUUAAGUCAGUUGAAAACCACUCCAUGUGCUUCUGAUGCAUAUCAAACUUGACAUCCAUGGGACCACAUUCUCUUUGACUGAUAAAAAUGUUCAAGCUUAGUAGCUAGGAAGAGCUUUCUGUAGGUAGUAUUAUCAUUUAAAAUGAACAGAUUUAACUUUUACAAAUGGACAUCCUUUUAAGAGGUUUGGGGCCGGUGGAUUUGAGGGGAGCUCUUAGAAUAUGUGUUGGGCUACCCUUACCUCUUCAUUGUCUGCAUUUCCCCCUCUGCCAUGGCCUGCUUGGUUUCCCAGUCUGUCUGCCCCUCUGGGUUAAAUGGAAAAAUUGACAUCUCACAUUUAAGGGAAUUUAUUGCAAAUUAAUGCAGUAGAGAUUUAUAUUUUCAUGUGAAAUAUCCUUUUAAUAGAGUAAAUAAUUGUUCCUCCCUCCAAUAUAUUUGUCUCAUUACUCUGGAUGCUCUAUAAUAGGAUUAUCUGUUAUAAACAUACACUUACAGAUCCAAAUAUAUGCACAGAUGAAAAAUAUCAAGCUUACAGGACAAGGUCAUCCCCCAAGCAUGGACACUCAAGGCCUUUUGGCUCUAUUUUCUCUAAGGAAAACUAAAGUCACAGUUGAACAAGGGAGCUUCCCUUGUCUCCUAGUUUCCACCAAGUGCUGGCUCUGACUCUGUUCUUUUGAUUUUUUUAGCGGCCUUCAGAGAAUUCUCAUGGAGGAGAGAAGGAAGUGGAUUGAAGAUGGGGUCGAGUUUCUAUCUGCUGUUUGACCCACGGAUUGCUGGAUAGACAUGACAUAUAGAAAACAGCUUGAUUCAUCCCACAGAAGUAGCAGAGAGUCCCAGGACCCAGCCUGCCCCACAGCAUCCCAGAGGGAUUUAUUCUCUUCUGAAGUUUGCAGAAGAAAUUGUUUUAUGAAUCAAUUUAAGACUAAUAAAUACAUAGAGUUCUAUUCCAAACAUAUUUUUUUUAAUUAUAAAAGAAGUACAUACCUCUUAAAAGGAUUAUGGGAGAAAGAGGAAUGUAGGAAAAAAAAUAAGACAGAAAGUACAGGUAAGAGUGCUGAUUUUAGAAUCAGGGCCAUACGGACUAGAAUCAGCCUUACUUGCUGUAUACACUUGGGUGAGUUACUUCACAUUGCUGAGUGCAUUCUUCUCAUCUGCAAAAUGGGAACAACCUCUCUGUCUGUCAUGUGGUAAGGGUUUGCUAAAGUGUAUUUUGUAAAAGCACUUAGAAAAAUUCUUGGUAUAGAAUAGUGUUACCAUAAUACAGGUGAGGUAAGUGUUUUUACUGCUGGUAGGAUAGCUACUGACUACAUCCUUUCCAGGCAAAUGGGACUGACUUUGAACCCCUUUUGGUUUGGGGGAGAAUUACUGGUAUUGGUAUUCCUAGCAUUAAGGCCACAUAAUAUUUGAAGAACUGGUUGCAAUCUCUUAAAAGUGUUAUUACCAAGAAAUAGAUUUUGGUUAUGUCUGUUUUCAUGGUACAGUAACCGAAACCCCUUAGUUUUUGUCUUAAGCUUAUAAACAUAUUUUAGUUUGUAAAAAGUGAUAAAAAAAAUACCCUGAGAAACAAUUAAAGUUCAUAGGAAAAUAAGAAAUCUUCACAGUAAUGUUUCAUUGAAUCAUCACAUUUUUUUUUCCUGAAAUACCAAUGAAGAAUGGCAGUUUUGAUAUGUAAAACAGUAGUUAGUCUUUAUGUGGAUAACACUUUUAAAAGCCUAGAAAUAUUUCACAUUUGAAGAAAAACACUUGUUUCCCGUGUUGAAUCUGAUUAAAAUUCAAAUCUAUCUUAGCAUCUCAUUACUAUUUGAAAAAAGCAACCUUCACGCUUAAGGAGAACGGCUCGGAGUCCACAGGUCCGGUGGCUGCAGGCUCUGCCUCUGGCUGUCACUGUGCUGGGACCCCAGAGGACAGGGCCACAGCUACAUCCUUGUUAAAACAGUCAUGGCGGGAAGACUGGCCCCGAGUUUCCUGCCUUUCCCCUCUCCCAUCCCGACAUUGUUUCAGCUGCCAGAUCCUCAAUAUUUUCUCUCCAGCAAGGGAAAGGGAAGGGCAAAAAUGACUUUGAAAGAAUAACAUUUCUUUCUAUGGACUUAAAUAGAACACUCAACACAAAACAUCCUGUGCUUCCUUUUCAUGGAUAACGUGCUGCUUGUCGCCGUGAGUGAACUAAAAAGCAGGGCUGGGUGUUGAGAGAGUUGGUGUUGGAGCUGCCAGCUGGGCGGUGAAGAAAACGCCCCUUGGGUAUUUUAAGGUUCGCCCUGCCCUCUCCUGUACACUCCCAUCUCCUUAUCCCGUAGUGUCUUGUCUCUUCUCCAUCGGAGUUAACACCUUUGAACAUAGUUUAGUACUUUUUUUUUUGGUUUAUUCUCCAACUGCUUAGAUUGUAAUGGCCAUAACGGGAACUCCACGAGAGUUAAUAUCUUCCUGUUUGCUGUUGGAUUACUUGUUCUAAAAAGAGUGCCCGGCAUGAAGUGGACACUAAAUAUUUGCAGGAUAAGCGAAUGAAUUAGUUUCUCCCUCAACGUCUUUUCCGGUACGAGUGGUAUCUAUAGUUCCUCAGUAUCUUUCCCUACAGGACUCUUUGGGUAUGAUUGGUACCAUGGGACAUAAAAAUAUUCUAUAAAUGUAUUUUUAUCUAGUAGAUACAUUUGAGAGUAUAGAUUUUUUUCAAGGUUUACACAAUUUAAUUGGUAAGGAAGAAAUAAAAGAGUUGGAUUAAAAAAGAA